rnacentral:rRNA from 1 species
AUUGACCUCGUGUAGGCUCUCGCGGGAGAAUUGAUUUCCUAUACAGGGUGGAUGACGGUCCCGAAAUAAGAGGUAUCGUAACUNCGUGCAGCAGCCGCGGUUAACUGCGUAGGGUGCGAGCGUAAUCGAAAUACAGCGUAAGCGUGCGCAGGCGGUUGAUAGACAGACCGAAUCCCGGGCUUAACCUGGGACUGCGCUUGUGACUGUCUCACUAGAGUACGGUGAAGGGGGGUGGAUUUCACGUGUAGCAGUGAAAUGCGUAGAGAUGUGGAGGAACACCGAUGGCGAAGGCAGCCCCCUGGAUAUUACUGACGCUCAUGCACGAAAGCGUGGGCCUUCAAACAGGAUUAGAUACCCUGGUAGAAUUACGCCCUAAACGAUGUCAACUAGGUGUUGGGUGGGUAAAACCAUUUAGUACCGUAGCUAAUAGAGAAGUUGACCGCCUAGAGAGUACGGCCGCAAGGUUAAAACUCAAACCUUUUUGACGGGGACCCGCACAAGCGGUGGAUGAUGGUCGAUUAA